GAGUGUGAUAGUGUAGUGGACUGAUUUAUUCUGAUUGAUGAGCCCGGGGAACAAGGUGACUUCAAGGUGGUCUAGUGGUGCAGGGAUUGGGCUUCUAAGUGGAGGCAGCAGAUUCAAGACCACAGGGGCCCUCGAGUGGAAUUUUCUGGAAAAGUAUCCAGCCAUGUGUAUCUGUCAGCCAAUAUUGAUUUUUGCAUCAAUUACACUCCAAAUAUGCAAAUACGUUGGGAUGCAAAUCGAUAUCAGACUCCUCUGUUCAGGAUGCCAGCACAGUUAACACGUUCGAUUAAAAAGUCAUUUAAAACAUGCU